rnacentral:rRNA from 1 species
AUUGAACGCUGGCGGCAGGCUUAACACAUGCAAGUCGAGCGCGCGGCGGACGGGUGAGUAAUGUCUGGGAACCUGCCUGAUGGAGGGGGAUAACUACUGGAAACGGUCGCUAAUACCGCAUACCAUCAGAUGUGCCCAGAUGGGAUUAGCUAGUAGGUGGGGUAAUGGCUCACCUAGGCGACGAUCCCUAGCUGGGCUGAGAGGAUGACCAGCCACACUGACAUUAAGACACGGCCCAGACUCCUACGGUAGGCAGCAGUGGGGAAUAUUGCACAAUGGGCGCAAGCCUGAUGCAGCCAUGCCGCGUGUAUGAAGAAGGCCGUCGGGUUGUAAAGCACUUUCAGCGAGGAGGCGUUACCCGCAGAAGAAGCAACGGCUAACUCCGUGCCAGCAGCCGCGGUAAUUC